AACCUGAACGUCGAAAAAAAUUACUAAUAUUUAUUUCAAAGACUCUAACCUCGAAAAUUAUAAUUUCUAUCUUAUAAAUUAAUUAAUUUGAUGACUAAUCCUCAGUAACUAUUUCAAGCUACACAAUCGCAGGGAUAGUGCAAGAAAUCAAAGACUUAAAAUGCAUUUCAUCUUAUCCGAGCAUCUGAGCCCCCCGCUGCCAAGAGCCAACCAGCCAAUGAGUUGUAUCACGUUAUCUUGUUUUGUAUACAUAUAUUUCUUCAAACUAACAGACAUUGCAACGAGUGAAAUAAUCGAAACUACCUUGGGGUGUUAUUGAAAAUGAGGUGGUGCUUGAUUGUUAAGCAGGAGAGUAAAAAAAAGUAGGUUGUGCAACAAAGCCUUCCGGGAGGUCCCCAAGCGCACUUCAUCUCAUAUUUCUAGCAUCCAGUUUGGUUUGGAACUCAGCAGUCAGAGCACAGAACAGAACAUAAGAGAAGAGAACAGAACAGAGCAAGAGAGUUAUACUCUAGUAUGGCAAAGGUGUACUAUAUAGAGUGCAAGGAGAGUAAGGACGCAGAAAGGUUUUAGUUGACGAGGAGAGCACACUCGGGAGAGACCGGUCGAUGCACUUCCUCCUUCCUGGUGUGUAUGUACCGCCAUAUAAGAACCGUCGCACUACACCUACGUAUUGGUUCCAGGCACUCUCUGUACAUGUACAAUACAUUAUAUUUUAUAACAAUAAUAAUAAUAAUAGUAAUGGUAAUAAUAAUAUGCCUACACAAACUCAGCCAGACACACUUUCGUCCCUCAACUAUGCACAUUUUGAAAUUUGACUCUUUCAAAGUUUAAAUUUAAUACACCCACCAGACCCACUGAGCUAACUGUCGUCUAUUGUGCUCAUGUGUCUUAAUACUUAAACUUUAAAACUCCCGCAUUAACUUUUAUUUUUAUAAAAUAUCUAUUUCAUGGUCUCUUGUACGAAAUAAUAUAAAUGGAGUAACAUAUGCAAUUAGUGGUAACUGUGAUAUAAUUAUUUAUAAAUUAUAAUUAUUGUGUAAAAAAAAUAAAACUAGGCCUUGUUAUGAAAUUUGUGUCGAGUAUGGAGCGAUAGUGCACAAGAGAGGUGUACGGUUAAUUAAGUAAUUAAAUGUAUGUGCAUAUAUGUAUAUAUAUAGCCAAGUAAUUUGAGAGUAAGUAUUUUUUCAGAGCUUUUUGGUAUAAGCAACGUCAUAUCUUUUCUGAUUAAUUCCUAACACGACUAACGAGCAACGACCACGGGCAUGAGCACGAGCACGAUGACGACGUAGACGCAAACCGCAAAAUUACUGCCCGAGUUAUUUCUUUGUCUGACAAACUCAGUUGACAAAAAUUUUAUGAAAAGCUUCCUCGUCGUUUAAUUGAAAGGACCGCGUAUGUGGGCAUACUAUUGCUACUUUAAUAAUUAUGUGUUAUAAUAUUUAACUUUAAUAAAGUACUCGGUGGUUUUAUUUAUUUAGUCCAACUUUAACUUCAUUUUGUUUUCAUAAACUUUUACUAUCUCAGCCUACGAGCACUUUAUUGCCAUUACUGUAAUAACAAAACUAUUAAUUUAAUUUUUAAAUUUAAUAAUUUUUUAAAAAUUACAAUUUUUACUCAGCACUUAAACUUGAAACUUGCACAUGAUAACACUAUCGUUUAAAAUUAUUUAUUUUAAUAUAAAAGAAAUAUAUAUUAUGUAUAUGUAUCAAGAGUUUAAACACUUGGAUAUUUUCGAACUACAUAUUGUUGUCUUAAGAUAAAGAGGAGGACGAAGAACACGGGAGAGUUUUGUGAGCGAGUUCGAAAGGUAUAGAGUAGACAAGAGUGAAAUAUCGAAAGAUGUUUUAAAGAGGUAGGCAGGUGGUACCCGAUGCAGAGUAAUAACUAGAGGAGGAUAUGAAAAGGUGGUGGAAGGAGUGAAACAGCACCCGAGGAUGGGUAUGGCUAUGGCACUACCAGUUUUUUCUCGAGCACCCGGUCUGUCAUCGUUUAGUAUUACUCUUGCCCGUGGGUUUUCGCUCAUCGUAGUAGUUGUAGUCAACCACGAGAUGCACAGCAAGAGAAAAUGAAAAAAAAAUAAAAAAAAAUUUAUAAAUAAAGUAAAGAGUUAAGUGUAGUGUUGAGUAGAGCGACAACCGAGGGAUGCUGGAUCUUGCAAAUUCUUGGAAAUAUAUAUGUGCACGUCUGACCAAGUAUCAGACAAAGGAUGCCAAGAAAAUAGAAAUGCAGGGAAGAAUGGAGCGCUAUCGUAGUC